rnacentral:rRNA from 1 species
GAUGAACGCUGGCGGCGUGCCUAAUACAUGCGAGUCGAGCGAACAGACGAGGAGCUUGCUCCUCUGACGUUAGCGGCGGACGGGUGAGUAACACGUGGAUAACCUACCUAUAAGACUGGGAUAACUUCUGGAAACCGGAGCUAAUACCGGAUAAUAUAUUGAACCGCAUGGUUCAAUAGUGAAAGACGGUUUUGCUGUCACUUAUAGAUGGAUCCGCGCCGCAUUAGCUAGUUGGUAAGGUAACGGCUUACCAAGGCAACGAUGCGUAGCCGACCUGAGAGGGUGAUCGGCCACACUGGAACUGAGACACGGUCCAGACUCCUACGGGAGGCAGCAGUAGGGAAUCUUCCGCAAUGGGCGAAAGCCUGACGGAGCAACGCCGCGUGAGUGAUGAAGGUCUUCGGAUCGUAAAACUCUGUUAUUAGGGAAGAACAAAUGUGUAAGUAACUAUGCACGUCUUGACGGUACCUAAUCAGAAAGCCACGGCUAACUACGUG